rnacentral:rRNA from 1 species
AUUGAACGCUGGCGGCAUGCUUUACACAUGCAAGUCGAACGGCAGCACGGGGGCAACCCUGGUGGCGAGUGGCGAACGGGUGAGUAAUAUAUCGGAACGUACCCGGAAAUGGGGGAUAACGUAGCGAAAGUUACGCUAAUACCGCAUAUGCCCUAAGGGGGAAAGCGGGGGAUUCGCAAGAACCUCGCGUUUUCGGAGCGGCCGAUAUCGGAUUAGCUAGUAGGUGAGGUAAAGGCUCACCUAGGCGACGAUCCGUAGCUGGUCUGAGAGGACGACCAGCCACACUGGAACUGAGACACGGUCCAGACUCCUACGGGAGGCAGCAGUGGGGAAUUUUGGACAAUGGGCGCAAGCCUGAUCCAGCCAUGCCGCGUGAGUGAAGAAGGCCUUGGGUUGUAAAGCUCUUUCAGCCGGAAAGAAAACGCAACGGGUUAAUAACCUGUGUGGAUGACGGUACCGG